CACUUUGAGGGUACUUCUUAUAAGGUCUUUCCACUAUCAAGAAUUGAAUUCAUAACAUUGAAUUAAGAAUGAAUGAAUAUUUAUCAAUCAAUCAACAGAUUUGAUGAAAAUAUAUAUGAAUUUCGGUGUGCACAUAUUAUAAAAGGACAAACUUCAAAUUUAUUUCAAAUUAAUUAAUUAAUAAGGGUUCUUACUAACA
rnacentral:lncRNA from 1 species